UGAGCAAUCUGCCCUUCACAUCGGAAUAACCAUUGGAAACGAUGGCUAAUACCGAAUAUGACUUCGGAUCGCAUGAUCUGAAGUGGAAAGCCCCGGCGGUGAAGGAUGAGCUCGCGGCCUAUCAGCUUGUUGGUGAGGUAAUAGCUCACCAAGGCGAUGACGGGUAGCCGGCCUGAGAGGGUGACCGGCCACACUGGGACUGAGACACGGCCCAGACUCCG
rnacentral:rRNA from 1 species